rnacentral:rRNA from 1 species
UACGAAGGGGGGCUAGCGUUGCUCGGAAUCACUGGGCGUAAAGGGUGCGUAGGCGGGUCUUUUAAGUCAGGGGUGAAAUCCUGGAGCUCAACUCCAGAACUGCCUUUGAUACUGAGGAUCUUGAGUUCGGGAGAGGUGAGUGGAACUGCGAGUGUAGAGGUGAAAUUCGUAGAUAUUCGCAAGAACACCAGUGGCGAAGGCGGCUCACUGGCCCGAUACUGACGCUGAGGCACGAAAACGUGGGGAGCAAACAGG